GUUGACCUCAGAUCAGGUAGGAAUACCCGCUGAACUUAAG
rnacentral:rRNA from 1 species